UACAGAGGUCUCAAGCGUUGUUCGGAUUCAUUGGGCGUAAAGGGUGCGUAGGCGGCGCGGUAAGUCGGGUGUGAAAUCUCGGAGCUUAACUCCGAAACUGCAUUCGAUACUGCCGUGCUUGAGGACUGGAGAGGAGAGUGGAAUUCCUGGUGUAGCGGUGAAAUGCGCAGAUAUCAGGAGGAACACCCGUGGCGAAAGCGGCUCUCUGGGACGGUACUGACGCUGAGACGCGAAAGCGUGGGGAGCAAACAGG
rnacentral:rRNA from 1 species